rnacentral:rRNA from 1 species
GACGAACGCUGGCGGCGUGCCUAAUCCAUGCAAGUCGAGCGAAGAGGCGGAUGGGUGAGUAACGCGUGGUUAACCUGCCCUUAAGUCUGGGAUACCAUUUGGAAACAGCUGCUAAUACCGGCUACUACAGGUUGGACCUGCGAUGCAUUAGCUAGUUGGUACGGUAACGGCUUACAAAGGCGAAGAUGCAUAGCCGAGUUGAGAGACGGAUCGGCCACAGUGGGACUGAGACACGGACCAAACUCCUACGGGAGGCAGCAGUAGGGAAUCUUCCACAAUGGACGAAAGUCUGAUGGAGCAACGCCGCGUGAGUGAAGAAGGUUUUCGGAUCGUAAAGCUCUGUUGUUGGUGAAGCGGUAAUCAACCAGAAAGUCACGGCUAACUACGUGCCAGCAGCCGCGGUAAUUC